GAUGAACGCUGGCGGCGUGCCUAAUACAUGCAAGUCGAGCGAACAGACGAGGAGCUUGCUCCUCUGACGUUAGCGGCGGACGGGUGAGUAACACGUGGAUAACCUACCUAUCAGACUGGGAUAACUACGGGAAACCGGCGCUAACACCGGAUAAUAUAUUGAACCGCAUGGUUCAAUAGUGAAAGACGGUUUUGCUGUCACUUCUAGAUGGAUCCGCGCCGCAUUGGCUGGUUGGUAAGGAAACGGCUUACCAAGGCAACGUUGCGUAGCCGACCUGAGGGGGUGGUCGGCCACACUGGGACUGAGACACGGUCCAGACUCCUACGGGAGGGAGCAGUAGGGAAUCUUCCGCAAUGGGCGGAGGCCUGACGGAGCAACGCCGCGUGAGUGAUGAGGGUCUUCGGAUCGUAGAACUCUGUUAUUAGGGAAGAACAAAUGUGUACGUAACUAGGCGCGUCUUUGCGGUACCUGAUCAGAAAGCCACGGCUUACUACGUG
rnacentral:rRNA from 1 species